UAAUGUUGCAUUGCUCUGGAUUAUUUCAACUAAAACCUCAUUCCUAUUGAGAUAACAAUUUUCUUUGUAUUUUAUAAGGCAAUAUUUGCAAAUGUGAGGCAAUUUUUGAACACCUGCAUGGCCUGCAGCCACCCCAGCCUCUGCUGUGCACACCUUUUGUUUCUUGUGUGCUAAAGUGGCCUGAGUGUGCUGAGUUGCAGUCUCUGAUUCGGUCAUUAGAUGUCCCUGUGUGCUUGGUAGGAUUCUGCACGAGGUGUAGUCCUGGUAAACAACAUAAAGCUGAACUAGAGUACCUGUGACAAAUGUUUGCAUCCAAAUCCAGACAGCACAAAUCCUGAAACUACAGUCUUGGAAAUACCAGCAUGGGAAACUGCCCCUCUUGCCAGUUGGAAAGUCUGAAUAUCAACAAUUUGUAUUGCACCCUGCCCUAUAUAUCUGACCUGAAACUCUGACCUGGAAUUUGGCUCAUCCAGAGACAUUCCACAAGCAUAUUAAUGAAAGCUCUUACUGCACACCAGAAAAAGUUGCUUAAGGCCCUGAAGUGAUCUGAAAAGUGUCACAGAAUGAGAGUGUCAUGGAUGGCUGAGUGAGCAAGGGGCCUGUGCUGAUCACACUGUCCAGCCCCCAGAAGACCAGGGUCAGCUAGAACAAUCUUCUCAGCUCUUUUGUGAAGAAUGUUGA